AGCAGAUUUACAUUUCAGAAUUCAAAUUAUUCAGAUAUAAAAUUAUACGUUUCUUAUUUGAUUUAAUUCUUCUUUCUGGUCCCUGUUGUCGUGUACAGAUGACAACAAUAGGUACUUCCUGGUCCCCGUUGUCGUGUACAGAUGACAACAAUAGGUACUUCCUGGUCACCGAUGCCUUGUACAGAUGACAAAAUAGGUACUUCCUGGUCCCCGUUGUCAUGUACAGAUGACAAAAAUAGGUACUUCCUGCCUGGUCCCCGUUGUCGUGUACAGACGACAACAAUAGGUACUUCCUGGUCCCUGUUGUCGUGUAAAGAUGACAACAAUAGGUAAUUCCUGGUCCCCGUUGUCGUGUACAGAUGACAACAAUAGGUGCUUCCUGGUCCCUGAUGUCGUGUACAGAUGACAACAAUAGGUACUUCCUGUUCCCCGUUGUCGUGUACAGAUGACAACAAUAGGUACUUCCUGGUCCCUGAUGUCGUGUACAGAUGACAACAAUAGGUACUUCCUGGUCCCCGAUGUCGUGUACAGAUGACAACAAUAGGUACUUCCUGGUCCCCGUUGUCGUGUACAGAUGACAACAAUAGGUACUUCCUGGUCCCCGUUGUCGUGUACAGA